CACCUUUCAGGAUCACACCUGGAGAGUUUUCAGUACUCUACCAGUCUCAGCUAAGGGAGGAAGAUUCAAGCAGAGGCAUACCCACUCCAUUCCUAGCUUAGGCAGUGGCUAGCAAGUGGAAGGCAAUCUGCUACAAGU